GAUGAACGCUGGCGGCGUGCCUAAUACAUGCAAGUCGAGCGAACAGAUGAGGAGCUUGCUCCUCUGACGUUAGCGGCGGACGGGUGAGUAACACGUGGAUAACCUACCUAUAAGACUGGGAUAACUUCGGGAAACCGGAGCUAAUACCGGAUAAUAUAUUGAACCGCAUGGUUCAAUAGUGAAAGACGGUUUUGCUGUCACUUAUAGAUGGACCCGCGCCGCAUUAGCUAGUUGGUAAGGUAACGGCUUACCAAGGCAACGAUGCGUAGCCGCCCUGAGAGGGUGAUCGGCCACACUGGAACUGAGACACGGUCCAGACUCCUACGGGAGGCAGCAGUAGGGAAUCUUCCGCAAUGGGCGAAAGCCUGACGGAGCAACGCCGCGUGAGUGAUGAAGGUCUUCGGAUCGUAAAACUCUGUUAUUAGGGAAGAACAAAUGUGUAAGUAACUAUGCACGUCUUGACGGUACCUAAUCAGAAAGCCACGGCUAACUACGUG
rnacentral:rRNA from 1 species